GUUGGAAGCUGUACGCAGGUUUGCCUGAUGCAGAAGCCUAUAUUCCUUCCACUCCAUGAUGCUGAAACAGGUUUUCAUUCUUCCCUUUCUCCCAGGAACACCAGCCCCAUCUUUUCACCAUGGAGCUUCCAGAGCUGACUUUGAAGUAUAAAGAGAAAGACCGGAUGUUGGGCCACAGUAGAGGGCUUCCACCAAAGGAGGGGUCUGGGGGCAAAGCAGGCAAAGAGGCAAGCUCCAGGCAGGGGCUGCCAGCAAGCAGGCUUCUCUCGAUGGGUACAACAGUGCUGUAAAGCUGACAAACAGAGUUUGGCUUCACUUGAAGGUGUGAAAAGAACAGCCUGACUCUGAGAGGCAAGUCCGCCAAGCCCAGGACCCUAGGGCACCUGGUUCUCACCAUUGCCUGCAAUGCCGCAGCCACUUCCCAAGUCAGGAGGGCAGCUGAAGUCCUGCACUGGGGACAGUUGGGUCAGCUGUGUCUGUUAGACAUCCCCCGAUGACACAGAAUGCCUCUCUCCUCUGAGAGCAGGACAGUGUGUUUAGACAGUCCCUGGUAAAUGUGAGCAGCCAUGAGAAAGGCAGCCUUAAGUGGCUCAAAUUAACCUCUUCUAUGGAUACAGAGUUGAGCUCCAUCAUUCACUCCCCACGAGAGAAAGAUUGCUGUGGCCUUAAGCAGUGGAAGCAGAACUGUUAUUAUUAUUUUUAAGUUGAUGCAAAAAAGGACUUCUUUCUCCACUUUGAAUAUGUUGUCAUCUUGGGUGAGGCAAGAGGACCAUGUAAGGUGGUGACAAGCACUGUUGGCUUUUUUGGGAGAGCAUUGGCUGACUCCAUCCACUACUCUGGGGUGACAAGACGGGAAAAACCACGGUUUACCAGGCAGGUGUUGGGAUUAAGAUACACUUUCAUUUUCAAAGCACUUUGCAGUCAUUAACUAAGUGCUCACCCCUAAUUCUCUUCUAGGUUGAGCUUGGCCAUGGUCUCCCCAUGCUGUCUCCCUUGCCUCUUCUCUGAGUCUCAAGGAACAUGCUGUCACUGGCAGAUAUAAGAACAUCUUGUGCUUUAUAUAUAUUUUUAAACCUUACUGGGUUGCUUGUCUAACUCACCCCUCCAGUAGCUUAGUGAGAUUAAUGCCUCUUUCUAAACUGUGAUAACCAAGAGAUACUUUCCAGCAAAUGCGAAUGGGGCUUUAAAGUGCUGCGAGGCAGGAUGACAAGAUCUUGGGUGAGUUUCAGGUAUUACAAAGAACAUUUUGAUUUCCUUUUCAGAGGAAAUGUAGAAGGGCUUUAUCAGCGUAGGUAACACUAUAGAGCUGAGUGAAAUGUAAAUGAAAUUCCCAGUUUUCAUUUUCCCGCUUCAUUUGAUAUUUGUGGGUUUUAGAAGUAGGACCAGCUGGAUUCAUCUGCAGAAAAAGCCAUGUGGCUGCGGAGCUCCUUCCGUUGUUAAGAAGUGUGCCUUUGGGCUAAGGGGAAAUGUUCUGAAGGCAGAUCUGGAUGUGAAUUUUGGUUCAGAUAUUUAUUAACCGUGGGACCCUAGGCAAGCUGGUUUCUGAGCUUUGAUUUCCUCAUCUGUAAAAGGAGGAUAAUAAUGGAUACCUCAAAGAGUUAUAAAGAUCAGAAGUAAAAUACAUGCAAAGAAGUAGAGAGGGCUGUUUCAAGUCGCUUACUUUUAUUUUAACAUACAGCUGGUGGGCCAGGAGAGAGUGAAAACAAAGCCACUGGAUAGUGAGAGGAUAGAGGGUGCUCCACAGACGCGAACUGCAUCUUUAUGUUUACAUAGAAGGGAGAGUGAAGGAGCAAAUGUGGGCAACAGCUGUCAGUGACACAUCAUUACCCCAACAGCCAGAAACAAGAUAAGCGCCUUGCAGGGGCCCUUAACUGACUGCUGGGUUCGAUGGUUCAAAGAGAAAAAGCACGUGAUAACUUUGAAGGAGGCUGCCUGGCUGAGCUGAUCGGAUCACCUAGAGACUGGAAAUGCUUUCUGGUCUGAAGUCACCUGCCCUAUCUGGACAUUCCAUAGACUACCACUUUUACCCACGACUUCGAUGUGGCAUGCUCAUUGGACCAGAUAAGCAAGCAGUGGCAAGUGGAUUGGAGGUCUUGGUAACCAGUUCAACCAAAAUCCUGGGACAGCUGUUCCCUGAUGCGGCACACUUCCUAGAAGAAGCAAGUGAAUUUAAAGCAGAGUGAACUGUAGAGGAGUUCACGACCAAAUCUCUGAUGCUUUCCCCAGAUCUUUCUUCAGGGCCAACACAUCCAUUGCUCAGCUGUGAUAGACAGCAGUCAGGGGUGGCUCACCUCUCUCACUGGGAAUUGCUCUCAGCAGUAGGGAACUCAUUCAGGGUUAAGGCAUCUCCUUGAGGAGGCCCAUGUUCAAUUACUGGUUGACACAGGAAUAUGAAGGCCUGGCCCUCGUCUCAGCUUGGAAUAAAUCUGAAGGCCCAUCACAGCUUCAGAGAUGCUUGGAGAAGGCUGAGGUCUCCCCUGUAACCUUAUGAGAACCUUGAGUUGUUGAACUCAUUAAUUCUUUGGGACCAUCUUCCUGAUGUUCAAGUUUGUGAAACAGGCUUUCCCUUUAAGAUUUGUUUUCCUCAAAAUACAAGACUAUUGAUGCUUCAGUUUUGAAGUGGAUUCUGCACUCAAGAAAUGUACCAUUGAAGAAUGGGACUGGUAGGAAGGGAAAAAAACUAAAAGGAAACGCAUUUUCGAGUUGCACAUCAUGAUCAGGCACAGAGUCCAGAUACACUUGGAGUAGCAAGCAUCCAUCCUUGUGGAGACGCACAUGAACCAGGACUCUCUGCACCCACCCCUCUCAAGUUUUAUUUUCCGACGGCUGUAAUGUUCCAGGACACCUGCCAUCAUGGAGGGUUAUCCAGCACCUGGAGGAUACCUGCUACCUAUUUUGUGAACAAUUUGGCAUGAGGAGAGAAAGGAACCUGAAGUUUUUAGCAAGGAAGGAGGAAGACAAGGAGGAAGAGAAAGAAGAAAAAAAAGGAAAAAAAAAGGCAGACUUCAUAUGUCCCUCCCAACUCUUUUUUUAUCCACCUCUUAAAGGCCAAGGUUAUUUACUCAUAUUUUAGUAUUAUGUUUAAGCAAUAAAAAGGUGUUUUUAUUAAAGGGUCAGGUAAAUAGAAUUUUUAAAAUACCUAGGUCAGUAAAUGAGAUUUCAGUCAUUGUACAGGUGUCUUUGACUUCUGCACUUUCUAUAGUGAUGGCUGCACCAGCACAUUCAGAGGUGUUUGGCACAUGUUCUAGCCUCUGGACGCUCCGCUUCUUUUGAAUUGACUGAGGGAUGUGCACGGGUGGGAGGAGUCCCUGAUGUUGACACAGGUGUUGUCUUUCUGGAUCAGUGUUUUUUUUUUUUUUAAUCUAGAGUGUUUCUGAAAAGAAGAGGGAUUUCAUUCAUUGUGUACCUGUAGACUGUGUGUCAAUAUCUGUUUAUUAACUGCUUACUUUGGAUUUAGAGUUAAUCUUUGUAUUUACAUACAUUAGCUUAGGG
rnacentral:lncRNA from 1 species